rnacentral:lncRNA from 14 species
GCUCCUGUAGUUACUUUCGAACCUUGCUUGCCCUGUGGCUGACAAGUCAUCUUCUUUUUGGACAUUCUUGGGAUCUUCGAAUCGGGUUCACAUAAGGAAGAGUUUUUCCUGGAUGCAGAAAUCUGUGGUUCUUGUGACAUUUUUAGGCACAUCAGCUGGUUCACACAGCCCUUCAGAACAGACCCGAGGCUGCAGCACGUCCAUCAGUGCCUGGGCACUUGCACCAUGUUUUCCCUCAUGCAGCAGGGAAGAAACAGAAAUGCCAUUCUUCACUUGA